CAUUAGAUGACUGAAAGCAAGUAAUGG
rnacentral:tRNA from 1 species